rnacentral:lncRNA from 1 species
AAAAUGUUUUUUUAAAUAAUAAUUUUACUUAUAUUUUGUAAAUUUUGAUUAUAUACGUAAAAUAAAUAUAUUUCAGUUAAUUAUAUUUAUAUAAUUAAUUUUUCUCAAAAAAAUAUAAAGAUUUAUAGUAGAUUAUAUAGUUAGGUUUGGUUUGUUGAAAUUUAAACUAGAUUAAAAACAUAAAUUGUAUUGAUUAAUAAGUAAAAAUAAAAAAUUAUAUAGCGAUUAUUUAAAGUACAUAUAUGUGUGUUGUAUAUAUAUAUAUAUAUAUAUAUAUAUUUAAUAAUAUAUAAAAAAAAU